rnacentral:rRNA from 1 species
UACGUAGGUGGCAAGCGUUGUCCGGAAUUAUUGGGCGUAAAGCGCGCGCAGGCGGUCCUUUAAGUCUGAUGUGAAAGCCCACGGCUCAACCGUGGAGGGUCAUUGGAAACUGGGGGACUUGAGUGCAGGAGAGAAGAGUGGAAUUCCACGUGUAGCGGUGAAAUGCGUAGAUAUCAAGUGGAACACCAGUGGCGAAGGCGGGUCCCUGGACAACACCUGACACUGAGGCACGAAAGCUAGGGGAGCAAACAGG